rnacentral:tRNA from 1 species
GCCAGCGAAGCAGAACGGGAUCUGCGCCUGUCUUGUAAACAGGAGGAAGCCGGUUCGAGGCCGGCCGCUGGCU